UUCAGCGAUUAGAGAGGUUUCCCAAGAUUACUGCUAAAGACAACAUAAAGUUAAGAGAAUUAGGAGAUUUGCUGCAGGAAAUUGAAGGUGCUAAAGAAGAUGGCUACCUCACAGGCCUGACAUACUUGGACACUCCACGGGGAAUAGCACCAAUUGUGGAAAAACUUCCAUUCGGUCUUCAAGAGAGGUGGGUCUCUAUUGGUUCUUUUUUACAAAGAAGAGAACUUUGGUCGCUUUCCACCCUUUGAGCACUUUUGCAAGUUUGUGUGCCAUGAAGCAAAGAAGAGAAAUGACCCCAGUUUCAUGUGUCAGUCCAGCCCCACAACUCAUUCCAAACCAGCUAAGUAUACCUCAAACCAUUUCAUCCCAAACAAACCAGUCUCUGUGCACAAAACAAAUGUUUCUAUCACCAAUACUGAUCCUAACAAGAACUGUCCACUACAUAACAAACCUCAUCCACUUAAGAAAUGCAGAAUGUUCCGGAACAAGCCCUACAGUGAGAGGAGGACAAUCCUCAAAGAGAAAGGAAUAUGUUUCAAAUGCUGCUCUUCUACUUCCCAUUUAGCCAAAGCCUGCAUGUCAGCUGUGAAGUGUUCUGAAUGCAGUAGUAGCUAUCACGAUGCAGCAAUGCACCCUGACUCAUCAUACCAAACAAUCAAGGCUCCCUCAACGGCUCAAGAAGACGGCGGGGAGGGGGAAGAGCAAACAGAUGCCAUCAACACAAGCUGCACAGAAGUCUGCGGCCCAGGUCAGUGGAACCGCUCAUGCUCAAAGAUAUGUCUUACUAAGAUUUAUCCAAAAGGCGCUCAGGACAAAGCCAUUAAAGCUUAUGUAAUAUUGGAUGAUCAAAGUAAUCGCUCACUAGCUAGGUCAGAGUUCUUCGAACUGUUUAAUAUAGAGAGCAGUCCAUGCUUCUACUACCUCAAAACUUGUUCUGGAGUCACAGAAACAUCAGGCAGAAAGGCUGAGGGAUUCCAGAUAGAGUCACUCGACGGCAAAGUCGUCAUCUGUCUCCCUCCACUCCUAGAAUGCAACGACAUCCUGAACAACCGUUCAGAGAUUCCAACUCCAAGUGCAAUCAUGCACCAACCCCAUUUAAGAGACAUUGCUAAACACGUCCCAGACUUAGAUCCAGAUGCAAAAAUACUACUGCUACUGGGAAGAGAUGUCAUUAGAGCACAUAAAGUCAGAGAGCAGAUUAAUGGACCACACAACGCACCCUUUGCACAACGUCUGGACCUUGGCUGGGUGGUUGUUGGAGAUGUGUGUCUCGGGAACGUGCACAAACCCAUGGUAAAGACAUUCAAAACCAACGUGCUAGAGAACGGCCGACCUUCAAUAUUUCAGCCUUGCACCAGCUUCAUACACGCCAGAGAAGCACGGCAUGAUUAUGACCAGCGAUGCAGUGUUAAUGAAAAAAUGCUAGGACAGUCUGUGUUCAUCCAAACAGAACAUGACAACAAGCCUGCUCCAUCAGUGGAAGACAAAGUAUUCCUAAAACGAAUGGAUGCAAAGGUCUACAGAGACGAAGAUAACAGUUGGGUUGCGCCAUUGCCUUUCAGAGAACCCAGACAGCGUUUGCCAAAUAACAAAGAGCAAGCAAUUAGUCGAUUCACUUCCCUGAAACGAACAAUGAAAAGGAAACCAGAGAUGCAGCAACAGUAUGUGGAGUUCAUGGGAAGGAUAUUUGCCAAUGGACAUGCUGAGGUGGCACCUCAACUGAAGGAAAAUGAGGAAUGCUGGUAUCUCCCAACAUUUGGAGUUUAUCACCCACAGAAACCCAACCAGAUCAGAGUGUUUUUUGAUUCUAGUGCACAGUGGUCUGGCACCUCACUCAACGAUGUGCUUCUUAAAGGUCCUGAUCUAAAUAACAGUCUCCUAGGUGUUCUGUUACGGUUCAGGAAAGAGAAGGUUGCAGUUCUUGCUGACAUCCAGCAAAUGUUUCACUGUUUCCUAGUACAUGAAGACCACAGAAACUUCUUACGAUUUCUUUGGCACAAGGAUAAUGACAUCAACAAGGAGGUUGUCGAGUACAGAAUGAGAGUCCACGUCUUCGGUAACAGUCCGUCGCCUGCAGUUGCUGUCUAUGGGCUAAGAAGAGCCAUAAGGGAAGGUGCACAAAGGUAUGGCGAGGACACUGUUAAGUUUGUGGAAAGACACUUUUAUGUCGAUGAUGGCCUAAUAUCAGUGUCAACUGAAGCUGAAGCAAUUGAUCUUCUGAAACGAACACAGGCUUCACUCGCAGAGUCUAACCUGUGUUUGCACAAGCUCGUUUCAAACUGUCAGGCAGUCACAGAGGCCUUCUCACCAGAAGACUGUGCAGUGGUGAAGAACUUGGAUUUGAGUGGAAAAGACACACCCACACAGCGAAGUUUAGGUCUUCUGUGGGAAAUCAGAACAGACACAUUCACCUUCUCAGUGCCACCAAAUAACAAGCUAUUCACUCGUCGAGGUGUUCUGUCUACUGUGAGUAGCAUUUUCGAUCCUCUGGGCCUGAUUGCUCCGGUCACAAUCCAGGGAAGAGCAAUUCUAAGAGAACUUACCUCCGAGCAGUCUGACUGGGACACACCCCUGCCUGCAGAUAGGCUAAACCAAUGGGAGGCGUGGAGAAAUUCACUUCAAGAUCUAAAGCAGCUUCAUGUCCCACGUAUUUAUACUGCGGCUUCACCCAGUGAAACAACAUACAAAGAACUGUGUGUGUUCUCAGAUGCUUCAGUCAAAGCUAUAGGUGCAGUAGCAUAUUUAAGAACAGUUCAAGAACACGGCCAUGUCGAGGUGGGAUUCAUCAUGGGUAAGGCGAAGCUGGCACCACAAUCUGACCCAACAGUCCCAAGACUUGAGCUCUGUGCAGCCGUCUUAGCAGUUGAAAUGGCUGAUCUCAUACAAGACGAGCUGGAUCUGGAACUGGAUGCUGUCAAGUUUUACACAGACAGCAAAGUGGUUCUUGGUUACAUCUGUAACGAAUCAAAACGAUUCUAUUUGUACGUCCAUAAUAGAGUCCAGCGAAUUCGCAUGUCAUCAAGGCCAGAACAAUGGAAUUACGUCCAUACAGAGAAGAACCCUGCUGACCAUGCUUCAAGAUCCGUGCCUGCAUCUCAUCUUGCUCAGACCUCAUGGUUUACAGGACCUGACUUCCUCCGUAAGACACCUGUGGAAGAAACACAACCCAGUCCAUCAUUUGAGUUAAUCGAACCAGAAACGGAUGUGGAAAUUCGACCAGAAGUAAGGACCUGUGCUACCUUCCUGGACAGCAAAGUGCUAACAUCUGAACGCUUUCAGCGAUUCUCUACCUUUACCUCAUUGGUAAGAAGCAUAGCAUCACUUAUCCACAUUGCCAAAUCAUACAAUCACUCAGUUCAAAACAGCAAAUGCAAGGGAUGGCACAUAUGUAACUUACCGCAUACUCAAGAGGAACGUGACCAAGCCAAGGACGUUAUCUUCAAAGCAACGCAAAUUUCAGCUUUUGCCAAGGAACGUGCAGCCUUGCACACCAACAAAAUGAUACCUACCAACAGCUGUUUAAGGACACUCAAUCCAAUCCUGGAUAAUGGUCUUCUUGUUUUAGGAGGACGCCUUAAAUAUUCAGGCCUCACAUCUGUGGAAAAGAACCCAAUAAUCCUGCCGAAGCGCAACCACAUCUCUGUGCUGCUCACACGUUAUUACCAUGAGCAAGUGAAACACCAAGGUCGCCAUCUGACAGAAGGUGCCAUCAGGGCCGCUGGUUUGUGGAUUUUGGGAGGCAAAGCUCUGGUCAAUUCAGUGCUUCAUAAAUGUGUGAUCUGCCGCAAACUGCGAGGAAAACAGGAAGAGCAACAUAUGUCAGAUCUGCCACCUGAACGACUCCAAGUCUGCCCUCCAUUUACAUAUGUAGGACUAGACGUUUUUGGGCCAUGGUCUGUCAACAUCAGACGUACUAGAGGAGGACAAGCGGGAAGCAAAAGAUGGGCUAUCAUGUUCAGUUGCAUGAGUUCACGAGCAGUCCACAUCGAGGUCAUCGAGUCUAUGGACACGUCCAGCUGCAUCAACGCCCUCAGGCGUUUCUUCGCACUCAGAGGCCCUGCAAAGCAGUUACGAUCUGACUGUGGCACUAACUUCAUCGGUGCAAGCAAAGAACUGGGCAUGGACAAAAGGAUGCAUAGUUACCUGAGUGAACAGGGUUGCACAUGGGUAUUCAACCCACCCCAUGCCUCUCAUAUGGGAGGUUCCUGGGAACGAAUGAUAGGCAUCGCUAGAAGAAUCCUCGACUCAAUGUUUUUACAGCAGAACAUUCGACUAACACAUGAGGUACUGUGCACACUGAUGGCAGAGGUUACAGCCAUUAUGAAUGGACGGCCGCUUACACCUGUGUCUUCAGAUCCAGAAAACCCCUUCAUUCUUUCUCCGUCGAUGCUCCUCACACAGAAAGUAGGAGUUCCGCCUCCAUUAGGGGAGUUUUCAGACAAAGAUCUACACACAAAGCAGUGGAGACAGGUUCAGACCCUAGCAGAUCAGUUCUGGACUCGUUGGAAAAAGGAAUAUCUGCACACUCUGCAAUGCAGACAGAAGUGGACGGAAAUUCGAAGGAACCUUCAAGUCGGAGACUUGGUCCUACUAAAGGAUAAACAGGUUGCACGCAACUGCUGGCCCAUGGCCAGAGUCACUGCCACAUUCCCUGGUAAAGACGAACAUGUCAGGAAAAUCGAGUUGCAAACAACAGAGGGAGGAAACCCAAAGACUUUUCUGAGACCUGUAGGAGAGGUUGUUCUACUCGUGUCUAAAGACUGAAGUAAUAACUGUUUGAUUUGUUCUGAUGUUCAGUGACCUUACAAAGGUCAGACGGGGAGUGUGUUGCCUUUAAGGCAAUCUUUAAUUUAUGUAUAUUUUUUCCUAAAUUUGUAUUUAAGUUUGUUUGAUGCAAAGUGUUCAUCUCAAAUGUUUAUAAGUAUGUGUAUAAUAAUAUAAAAUUGUUUCUCUUAGGACAAAUCGCUAAUUUGAGAAGUUUAUAUAAUCUCGCGAUAUGUGUUAAGUGACUUCCGGUUUGCGGGAGAUCGCGUUAGUAAUUUCCUGUUUACGACGGGAUACGGGAGAAACUAGGCACAUGCGACCGUCAUGUGAAUCUCUUGCCAUCCGCUAAGAAAUACCAUAGACGCAAUGCCUUUUUACCAAAUCACCAUAUAAAGUGAAGAGAAGAAAAUAAACGACACUUUAAUGAA